rnacentral:snRNA from 1 species
AUUGCUUCUCGGCCUUUUGGUUAAGAUCAAGUGUAGUAUCUGUUCUUAUCAGUUUAGUAUAUUGCUGUAGCUCUUUCUGUAGGCGUUUGAUGUAUUUAGAUGCCUU